UGUACACAUAUCUAUAUGUGUAUAUACAUAUAUAUAAAACAAGCUCGUAUUUUAUCUUUGUUACCUUUUCUCAAUAAUGAGAAAAAAUUUGAAAGAACUGAGUCGACCGCUAGAACUACCGGUCUUAAAACCAGAAAUAAAUAGGCUUAUUCUUUGUUCACUUGAAUUAGAAUUCCAAUCAGAACUCAAACACAGAUUGUUGUUUUGUUCGACAAAUCCAAGAAUCCAGAGACAGGAUUUGAACACGUG
rnacentral:lncRNA from 1 species